UGAUCGAUAUCUUGGUAAAAUAUUCAUUUUUAAACUAGCGGGCAGUGAAAUCUUUGCUUUGUGUGCUAAAGUCAACAGUCGCUGGGUUUGAGCUCAAAUAAAUGCAGGGAUGCCCAGGCUCGGAGCAGUCGGCCGCCUCCCUCCGCGCGCUGGACGCUCCACCGCCGUCGGCCGCAACAGCCGCCGCUGCCGCCCACAGACCUGGUCACGCAGAUUGGCAUAUGCACAGUUCCUGAAACAAAAAGAUGAGUUAGAGAAAGACAGUUGUACCUGUGUGUGAUUGCAAGCACGAAAGCUUCUCCCACCCUGAGAGUAGCCCGCAAGGCCACAGCCCGGUCAGGUGGCCCCUGGAUGCUUCCCUGGGAGCCGCCAAUGGCUGGAGACCAAGGCAUGAGGCAAGCGGCCAGACUUGCUCACAGACAGGCGGGUGCGAUUCCAGAUGGGCUCCAUGUGCCAGCACCGGCCGCCCAAGCAAGGGAGAAGGGAAGCACAAUUCCAGUGCUGCAAAGCUGCUCCAAGGCUCCAGGCCAGCAGAUGUGAAGGUGCUGUACUGCUGUCACACUGAAGUCAUGGCUGACAAGGUGCCCAAGGAUGUGUUUGGACCUCAUCGCAUGACAAAUGAACCCUAAUGCAGGCUGCAACUGCGGCUCAGUGCAGCGGCGCUUGGCCAGAUGCCCAAGGCCCUACCCAACACCCCAGCAUCCAGCCAAAUCACCACCCACCAAACAACAGGGAAGAAAAAAAUGCGUGACAGUUUUAGAAAGCUUUAGCCUCACACUGAGUGACCUAAGGCAUCAGUUCUUCCCAGGGACCAGAGAAUGUCCAUGAACUCAGUGAUCUUUGGAGCCCCCGGAGGGCUUGCUUGCUGAGCUAUACAACCCUGCAGAGAAGCCAGGACAGGAGCUGAGCUGGCCGGCCACUCAUGGGAAGGGCAAACCAGCCCUCUCAGGGGCCUUGAGCCCAAAGUACCCUGAAGCAGCCCUGCCAUGCUAUCUGGGCUCUGCAGAGGCAGUGCUGGGGAUGCAGUUUUGGGGAGUGGAAAUGAAACCAACCCUGUUUAAGGUAAAAAGUCAAUCCCAAAAGCACACGGAGUCAUUCAUUCCUCGGUCCCUUUAGAAAGCCGAGUCAUGCACAAGCCAGCAUUUGCCACACAGUGGGAACUCUGAUACAUGUGAUUUUCAGGAUGCUUUAUCUCUGUGGAGAGGAUUCAGGAGGCCCUUGAAGUCCUCAGCCCUAAAUCCAUGUUACUAGGGAAAGGCUGUAUUUUUUUAUUUUUUAUUUUUUUUCUUUCUGGUAGAUGGAGGCUUGAGCUGGGAGAAACUCUGACCAGGCCAACACUGUGGCUGAAGUGGCACACAGGCCCUAGUAUGGUCUGCAAGGCAUUUACUAGCCUGGCCCCUCCUUAGGGCCUGCAUUUCUAGAAUAGGAGUCAGCGCUGGAGACAGAGUGUGGCUGGCUCUUUCCAGACACAACAGUUCAUUUUAUAAAUUUUAUCUCAGGGGUAUGCAAAGCGCGUUUAUUUUUCACUUUUAUCUCUGGAAUUGCAGGCUGAUCCCAUCCAUAUAGAUUGAUUUUCUUCAGGUAGGUAAUGAAAAGUACAGUGGAAAAUCACACAGCAGUGCUCACGACCCUAGUCUUAUAUCCGUAUACAAAUUGGUUUAUUAUUUCAUUCUAUUACAGAUGCGUCCCCCUCCCCCUUUUUCGUACUAGGAAAACUUUUAGAAGCUCUGUGUGGUGGGUCUCCCUGAAUUACCUCCCAGAGGCAGUGGUGGGGAGGGGAGGUGGUGGGCCCCCAUUUCUGCCUGUUCACUGUGCUGAUGCCCCAGAGCGGCCCUUCUGAGAUGUCCCCAAGCCGUCUACCCCCCUGUCUGCCCAGUGUCUUGUCUGCUAUGGAUGUAACUCUUGAACCUUUCUGGGUGACAACAAAAGUGCCCAUCCACACACACAUCCUACUGCACAGGUGAAUUUUUUUCACCCCAGGCAAUUCUAAAUUUUGUCACGAUGCCUGCAGGAGACAACCCCCUCCCUCCCAAGCACCAAGAGGCCAGGGGUGAGAGGGUGACAGGGAUAAAGGCCACACUGAGGGACAGCUUGGAGCCAGAAUCUUGGAGGGAGCGUUAUUAAUAAACAUCUUCUGGACAUUAGCUAGCCCGUGGAGCUUGCUGCAGCUUAAAGCAAUUAAUUCAGGACACUGACUUAAACUCUCCAGGUCUUUGACAGCUUGGAGCCGAAAUAAAAAUGCUAGUUCUCCCGGGAGGAGAGGCGGCCGGCAAGCUCUCUUCUGGACUGUUUGCUCACAGGCCCCGCGAGCCGCUUUCCUGCAGAAUGAAAUGCAAGGGCACAAACAAUGUACCAGGGAGAGAAUAGGAGACGGGAAGGAGCAGUUUGAACUAUUUGCUCAGCAGAAGGGCACCACAAUGCUGGGCUGAUGCUUUUCCCAGGCAUCCACUGUCCCUGCUUUGGGGUCUUUUGUUGUCUCUGUCCCCUCUGGCCAGAUAAGAGCACAGCUGCGUGCUGCAGCUGAGCGGCUGCCUGGUCCCCUCCACCUUGGUUGCCGUCUCUGUGCGGCUUCCUGCUUGGUUCCACUUGGUCCCCUAAAACAAUUUUUGCAAGGAGUGUAGUGGGAGAGGAGGGGAGAAUGCAGGGGCAGAGGGUUCAGGACUCCCACAUUGCUCAGGUCUGAUUCCUGCCUCUGAGCCCAGGCUGGGACCACUCCCUGUCCUUUUGGGUUUAGAGAUUUGUGGGGCUCCCAAACCAAAUGCUGCCUUUUGUGGGGAAAGUGUGUGUGUGUAUGUGUGCACGCACGCAUGCACAUGCAUGUGGGUGGGGUAGUGUUAGUGAAGUGCAGAGAAGAAGAUUUGAGGCCAGCCCACUCUUUGCUUUCAAUGGUCAGACUUUUUCAGCUGCUAAAAAAAAAGGGAAGUGUUUUGGAGCAGCCAAAUUGAGAACUGUCCAGUUGUGAUUUGUCACAUCUGAAAAUUACUCUGGAUUUCUUUCCACUUACCUUGUUCAGAGUUCUAAUGGAUAGCGGUAUCCAGAAUCAGAGUAAGAACCAGGCAAACUAGCUAUGGGACAAAAAUAUCCUUUUGUAAGUGCCACCAGUUACGCUUAUAGUAAGAGUAAAUGUCACCUGAAAUCAUCAAAAUGUUCUUUCACAUUUGCUCUUUUGAAUAAAGGCUUAUUUUAAAUACUAGAAAAGGAAGUAGACAUGAUAAUAAGGUAAACACCAGCACAGGCCUGGAGAUGCAGCCCAGGGGGGAAACACUGCCUGGCUUGUGAAAAGCAGCUAGGCCCUCCACAAAUUAACAAAAAGUACAAAGUACAACCACUAAAUCUGAGACCUCACGCAGCUUUGCACUGUUGGAUGUGUGUUCUCACGCAGAGAGUGCUGCCGCUGGUGUUGUUUUUGAAAGCCAGACUACAAUGGAUAAUUUCAUUCUAAUAAGAUCGAUUUAGUCCGAAUGGUUUUAUAAGGUGAAAAGGCAAAAAGUUUAACACCAAAGGAAAUGAAUGGCUUUCUAUGACUGUUACAUAUCCACAGGCCGAAAAACCCCCUGAAGGAAAUAAAAUGUUUCAACUCUG